CCUAACAAGAAGAUGUGCUAUAGGUGUAAUGGAGAAGGUCAUAUUUCUAAAGACUGCCCACAGAAAAACACACCUCCACAGCCAAGGGCAUUCAACAUGUUCCUCAACGAAGCAGAAAGAGAUGGGAGGGUUAAAGGAUGAAGACUUCAUAUUAAUAUAUAAAGUCGGUAAAGUCUGUAUCAGGAGGCAUAGCCUGUUAGAGGCAUAGUAUAGGGUGAACUUGAACUUUUGUGUAAUAGUUUCAAGAAUUAAUAUAAAUCCUAGUUUUGUUAUCUGAUGUGUUGAAUGAUUAUAUGAUUUAUGUAUGGUGACUUGGUUAACUGCGAGACAAUACUUGGGACGAGUAUGAGUAGGUGUGAAUGGUAGUAGAGAUCUAUACUACCGGAAGCACAGGACUCACGCUUGGAUCAGGGGAAGUCACAAGGUUAUCAAGAAGCUAGUAAUUGAUUCCGUUUUAUUCAAGUAUGUCAUUACCAUUGUUUCGGUAAUGUCUAGAAAGAUAGUUGUUAUUCCGACCCUAGGGGUCAUAUCAAUUGAGUCCGACUAUGAUGAGAGGUCAUCGGGACACGACCCAUCAGGGUUAUUACUUAGAAUGGAGAGAUAACUUAUGGAGUCAGUAUGCGAAUCCUAUUUCGUUGAUGAUUCCGGGACGUAAUCAUCCUAAGGGGGAGAUAAUUGUAACGCCCGUAGAUCAGGGCUAGUCAAUUUAGAGACAAUAAGAGUCAAAAAUGACUUUUUGAUAGAAGAUUAUUUAGGAUGAAUAAUCCUAACUAAGUUGUAGUAUAUGUUACAAGGUUUCCGUACAUAUAAAGAACGCCAAAAUCCGAGUUAUAACGAAGAAGUUAUGACCUGUCAAAGUUUCGCGACAGAACCGGCACGACACAGCGCGACGUAAAAAGUGAAUUUACGUUAGAGCGAUAUUUAGCCUUAGCAAUCUAAACGAGAAUCGAAGAUCUCGUUGUUGGUAUCGAAGCGAUAAAAAGUUAGGCGAGAACGGACGUCAAACGAAGAAGUUAUGAAUUUAUAACGAAAGUUUCUGUCGCGGCCUAUUAAAAAUAAUUAAUAAAAAUAAAGUCAAAAUUAGCCGACGGAGUCUAAACGAAAGUUGUAGAGCGUAGUCUCACCUUCGCGUGGAUAUAAAGAACGUCGAAAACGGAGUUCGUAUGAAGAAGAUAUGAAUUUCCGAAGUUUAUUAAUCAAUUUGUAUUUAAAUUUAAAAGGAAAUUCGGAAGCAUUAUCCGAAGGAGUCACCGGUCUGAUCCGAGGUACGCGCUGCGUACUCGAGUACGCCCCGCGUACUCCGAAGUGUCGACAUUCGCAGCAAGUGGCUUCGGAUGACGCACGCAGUGACGUUUUUCGGACCAGUACGCCCCGCGUACUGGCGUACGCCCCGCGUACUCCGAGGCUCCAGCCUCCUAUAAAUAGGAUGCGAGGGCAGCCGACCCAAUUGCCAAUUUCUUCUCUUCUCUCUCCCGUUUUGCAUCGUUUUGCGUGCCAGAAAUACCCCGAAGCCCCGGUAUUAUACCCUAGCCCCGAGGCAAGUCCCGAGAUCCCGAAGAUCCCGAAAAGUGCGGUUCCCGAGUCGAAGCUCUGCCCGCGAGAAGUUUGAUUUUCGAGGAGAUCUUCCAGAUCUGCUGAGGAAUACUACUUCUAUAAGCCGUAGUGCUGUCGGAUCGUCUUCUGAUCAAGUGAGUGUGUAGUUAUUUCUUCUAAUACAAUAAUACGAAGUAUUUUAUAUAAAAAUACGUGCUAUGUGUAUAUAUUUGGUUGUGUUAUGUGUGAAUGAGUAUUCACUCUCUUCUAUCUUACAGAUCUGCUUAUUUCUUUAUGAGAUAUGUGUUACGUGUGUGUGCCUCAUCUGUUAUGUGAUAUAUGUGUUGAUUAAAGCAUGCUAUACAGGUUUUCUUUAAACUAUGUAUACAAAUGUAUAUUUUUGUCUACUAAUAUUGUUGGGUAGAACAUGGGUAGAUGGGAUACUUGGUGACUAUGGAGUUAGCGCCUGCUGUUAGAUAAACCUUGGUGACUAUGGAGUUAGCGCCUGCUGUUAGAUAAACCUUGGUGACUAUGGAGUUAGCGCCUGUUGUUAGAUAAACCUUGGUGACUAUGGAGUUAGCGCCUUUUGUAUAAACCUUGGUGACUAUGGAGUUAGCGCCUAUUGCAUAAACCUUGGCGACGAUGUGACUUCGUGCCUAUUUGAUGAACCUUGGCGACUAUGGAGUUAGCGCUUGUUAAGUAAACCUUGGCGACUAUGGAGUUAGCGCUUGUUAAGUGUACCUUGGUGACUAUGGAGUUAGCGCCGCUUGAGUAAACCCCGACGACUAUGGAGUUAGCGUCUUAUAACUAUGGAUUUAGUACUCGAUAGAUAAACUUUGGCAGCAAUGGAUUUCGUGCCGAUUCCUUAGGAAUAAGUGAAUGAAGGAUAGUUGGUUCUUAGGGGGAAACCUUAAGAAGAUGAUGGGGAUGGGUAUUUGAGUUGAUUGUUUGAUAAUUGAAUAUAAUAAAUGUAUUAUUGUGGGUUGAAAACCCUAUAUGCUCACCAGGCUCCCAAGCCUGACCCACUCAGUUUUCUUUUCAUUACAGGUAAUGACACAAGAGUAUAAGUCGGCGGACUUGACGAGAGAUUUUGGAUUAUAGAUCAGUAGUUGAAUAACUAUUGUAAGGUCUAUUUUAUGUUGUUUAUGCUUUUGGUCUGUAACGAACAUGACAUCCCGAGGUUUUAUUAUUUAAUAAAAAUACAUUCUUUUCGAGAAAUGUUUUGAUAAAAUGGUUAUCAUAUUUUAUUUUGGGAACAAAUUCCGCAACCGUUUUCUUUAAACGAUCACUCUGAUUUUGAAAACAAAGCAUAAACAAAUCGGUCUUUUCUGGCCGUGAAAUUGGGGAUGUCACAGUUGGUAUCAGAGCAUUAGUUUAAGCGAACUAGGAAUUUGUAGGAUUUCUAGACUUAAACUUAGAAUGCUAAGCAAUGAUUGCGAGUUGAGUGUGUCCAUUAUAUUUUAGGUAGUACACCUAAAUUGACACAGGCACUAUUUUAUUUUAGGAAAGUUGCCUAAAAUGCUUUUGCGUGCUAAACGUUUUGUGUGAUAGCUAUAUUGAUGCUAUUAUUUGUUCGGAUCUAUGGUCUGUUGCCGACCGGAUCUGGAAACCUUAUGUGUAUAGGAUUCUAAGCGUACGUCUACGAUAUUAGAACUAGCAUAUAAACGUUUCGGAGUGAUAAGGAUGAUUUGAAUAUCUAUCGUGAUUAAGGAUCUAAUUUCACCAUAUUCGGUGUAUAGAUCAAAAAUGGUGAGAACGAGGAGUGGAGUUGGAAAUGCUGAUGAGAACAGGAAUCAAGUACCAGUAAUUGAACAAAUACCUGUUGUGGCAGCAGCGCCUGAACCAAUGACAAUGGCCGGAGUUCAAGUGAUGAUCCAGGCAAUGUUGAAUAAUCAGAUGGAAGAAACUAGACGUCUGAUCAGACAAAAUCGCGAGGAAUUGUCAAUUCGAGUAGAAGAGCCCGAAGUAAAUGGAGGGCAUUCUGAAGGAGGAAACUAUAGUGGGACCGUUGGUCAAGCCAACCCACCAAUAGUUCGCCAAAACAACCAGGAUAGAGGAAAUGAUGGACGUGGAUGCAAGUACAAGGAUUUCAUGGCAUCCAAACCACCAUGUCUUUCUGGGAGCCCGACACCGGUGCAAGUCAUGGACUGGAUCUCCGAAAUGGAGACAAUGUUUGAAAGUUGCGAGUGUAGCAACAGACAGAAGACCGCUCUUGCAAUCCCUCUGUUAAAAUCUGGAGUAUUGAGCUGGUGGAAGUUACUGGCUGGUUCAAUGCCCAAGGGGGAAGCUAGCAAGAUGUCUUGGGAAGAGUUCGUGGAGCAAAUGAAAAUGCAAUACUGCUCUGAGCAGGAUCUUCUGGAAAUCAACAAUGAGUUCCAGAAUCUGAAGAAAGGAAAAUUGAGCGUUACUGAAUACGCUACGAGCUUUACGGAGAAGAUGAAGCUUAUUCCAUACCUAAUUCCGACUGAACUUUCCAAGGUCAACAAGUUUGCCAAUGGAUUACCAGCGGACUUUGGUCCGAUAGUCAAACAAGCAACCACUCUGAAAGCCGCCAUCUGGGCAGCCAAAAAUGUUGAGACCCAAAUAAAAGAAAAGGGUCUGGAAAGGGCUGAAGUUGGAGAGAAAAGGAAGCGUGAAGGAUCUUCAAUAAUCGAUAAAGAAAGUAAAUUCUCGAAAACUGGAGGAAGAGAUGAGGCUAAGUGGUGUGAGAAGUGUAAGAAGAAACACUUCGGGAAAUGUAGCGAGGAGAUGACUUGCUACAAAUGUGGGAAGACAGGGCACUAUGCCAACAAGUGCGCACCUAACAAGAAGAUGUGCUAUAGGUGUAAUGAAGAAGGUCAUAUUUCUAAAGACUGCCCACAGAAAAACACACCUCCACAGCCAAGGGCAUUCAACAUGUUCCUCAACGAAGCAGAAAGGGAUGGGAGGGUUAAAGGAUGAAGACUUCAUAUUAAUAUAUAAAGUCGGUAAAGUCUGUAUCAGGAAGCAUAGCCUGUUAGAGGCAUAGUAUAGGGUGAACUUGAACUUUUGUGUAAUAGUUUCAAGAAUUAAUAUAAAUCCUAGUUUUGUUAUCUGAUGUGUUGAAUGAUUAUAUGAUUUAUGUAUGGUGACUUGGUUAACUGCGAGACAAUACUUGGGACGAGUAUGAGUAGGUGUGAAUGGUAGUAGAGAUCUAUACUACCGGAAGCACAGGACUCACGCUUGGAUCAGGGGAAGUCACAAGGUUAUCAAGAAGCUAGUAAUUGAUUCCGUUUUAUUCAAGUAUGUCAUUACCAUUGUUUCGGUAAUGUCUAGUAAGAUAGUUGUUAUUCCGACCCUAGGGGUCAUAUCAAUUGAGUCCGACUACGAUGAGAGGUCAUCGGGACACGACCCAUCAAGGUUAUUACUUAGAAUGGAGAGAUAACUUAUGGAGUCAGUAUACGAAUCCUAUUUCGUUGAUGAUUCCGGGACGUAAUCAUCCUAAGGGGGAGAUAAUUGUAACGCCCGUAGAUCAGGGCUAGUCAAUUUAGAGACAAUAAGCGUCAAAAAUGACUUUUUGAUAGAAGAUUAUUUAGGAUGAAUAAUCCUAACUAAGUUGUAGUAUAUGUUACAAGGUUUCCGUGCAUAUAAAGAACGCCAAAAUCCGAGUUAUAACAAAGAAGUUAUGACCUGUCGAAGUUUCGCGACAGAACCGGCACGACACAGCGCGACGUAAAAAGUGAAUUUACGUUAGAGCGAUAUUUAGCCUUAGCAAUCUAAACGAGAAUCGAAGAUCUCGUUGUUGGUAUCGAAGCGAUAAAAAGUUAGGCGAGAACGGACGUCAGACGAAGAAGUUAUGAAUUUAUAACGAAAUUUUCUGUCCCGACCUAUUAAAAAUAAAUAAUAAAAAUAAAAGUCAAAAUUAGCCGACGGAGUCUAAACGAAAGUCGUAGAGCGUAGUCUCACCUACGCGUGGAUAUAAAGAACGUCGAAAACGGAGUUCGUAUGAAGAAGAUAUGAAUUUUCGAAGUUUAUUAAUGAAUUAAUAAUUAAAUUUAAUUAUUAAAUCCCGGUAUUAUCCGAAGGCGAGUCAUCGGACUCAUCCGAAGUACGCCCCGCGUACAGCGAAGCAUGACGACCUUCGCACUCGAGUUCUUCGGAUGACGCAUGCAGUGACGAAUUCGGACGCGUACGCCCCGCGUACUCCGAGGCUCCAGCCUCCUAUAAAUAGGAUGCGAGGGCAGCCGGUUCUUUUGUUCAUUUUCCCUCUUCUCUCUCCCGUUUUGCAUCG
rnacentral:lncRNA from 1 species